AUUGAACGCUGGCGGCAGGCUUUACACAUGCAAGUCGAGCGAGCGGCGGACGGGUGAGUAAUGUCUGGGAAACUGCCUGAUGGAGGGGGAUAACUACUGGAAACGGUAGCUAAUACCGCAUACCAUCAGAUGUGCCCAGAUGGGAUUAGCUAGUAGGGGGGGUAAUGGCUCUCCUAGGCGACGAUCCCUAGCUGGUCUGAGAGGAGGACCAGCCACACUGUGACUGAGACACAGUCCAGACUCCUACGGCAGGCAGCAGUGGGGAAUAUUGAACAAGUGGCGCAAGCCUGCUGCAGCCAUGCCGCGUGGGUGAAGAAGGCCUUCGGGUUGUAAAGCACUUUCAGCGAGGAGGCGUUACUCGCAGAAGAAGCACCGACGAACUCCGUGCCAGCAGCCGAGGUAAUAC
rnacentral:rRNA from 1 species